CUUGUCUCAAAAAAAAAAAAAAAAAAUGUACACUUACUGUGAGCACUACUACGUUCCAGGCCCUGGGGAUACCACAGAGUAUCAGAGUAGUCCUGCCUGCCUGCAGCUUGCUUCCCACAGGGAGAGGAUUGAGGAUAGAUUAUAAACAUAGAAGAUGAGAGGGACCAGAAGAGCAGGCUGUAACUUCAACCAGAGUGGCCAGGGAAGACCCGCACUGAAAAGGGGCAUCGAGCAGACAGAUAUAAAGAAGGCAAAGAAGCAGGCCACGCGGCUGGCUGGGGAAAGCAUAUUCCAGCUCUCCCCGAAGGUCCUCUGUGGAGGAGAAACAAAGCAAGGCGUGCAUGAGCGACAUGGGAGAUGAUAUGGCAAGAAUCAUCACUGGAGCUAUCCCAUGGGAUCCAGUGCUGCCUGAGUCCUGGAAACCACCUGAGGGAGGUCACAGCCCUUAUGCACCUACUGCUCACUCAGCCCCGUAGUGACUGUUCUUAACCCAUCUGUGGAUUGUGAAGUUUAUCUAGUUGUUUAUAACUAUUUUUUUUAGUGAAAUAGAAUAGAAAGCAUCAAAGUGCAUACGUGUAGCAAAGGUGAGUAUUAUUUUCUGAGACUUUUGUCUCAAGCAUGUGAUUCUGAAAUACGAUAUAUAUUAUUGUGGCUCAUAGUCAAGAAAGUUUUAUCACAUCCCUGUAGACCUCCAACCCCAGGAAAAUCAGGGCCUUUCUCUCCAGUCCCCUUCAGC